rnacentral:rRNA from 1 species
GACGAACGCUGGCGGCGUGCUUAACACAUGCAAGUCGAACGGAAAGGCCCUGCUUUUGUGGGGUGCUCGAGUGGCGAACGGGUGAGUAACACGUGAGUAACCUGCCCUUGACUUUGGGAUAACUUCAGGAAACUGGGGCUAAUACCGGAUAGGAGCUCCUGCUGCAUGGUGGGGGUUGGAAAGUUUCGGCGGUUGGGGAUGGACUCGCGGCUUAUCAGCUUGUUGGUGGGGUAGUGGCUUACCAAGGCUUUGACGGGUAGCCGGCCUGAGAGGGUGACCGGCCACAUUGGGACUGAGAUACGGCCCAGACUCCUACGGGAGGCAGCAGUGGGGAAUAUUGCACAAUGGGCGGAAGCCUGAUGCAGCAACGCCGCGUGCGGGAUGACGGCCUUCGGGUUGUAAACCGCUUUCGCCUGUGACGAAGCGUGAGUGACGGUAAUGGGUAAAGAAGCACCGGCUAACUACGUGCCAGCAGCCGCGGUGAUACGUAGGGUGCGAGCGUUGUCCGGAUUUAUUGGGCGUAAAGGGCUCGUAGGUGGUUGAUCGCGUCGGAAGUGUAAUCUUGGGGCUUAACCCUGAGCGUGCUUUCGAUACGGGUUGACUUGAGGAAGGUAGGGGAGAAUGGAAUUCCUGGUGGAGCGGUGGAAUGCGCAGAUAUCAGGAGGAACACCAGUGGCGAAGGCGGUUCUCUGGGCCUUUCCUGACGCUGAGGAGCGAAAGCGUGGGGAGCGAACAGGCUUAGAUACCCUGGUAGUCCACGCUGUAAACGGUGGGUACUAGGUGUGGGGUCCAUUCCACGGGUUCCGUGCCGUAGCUAACGCUUUAAGUACCCCGCCUGGGGAGUACGGCCGCAAGGCUAAAACUCAAAGGAAUUGACGGGGCCCCGCACAAGCGGCGGAGCAUGCGGAUUAAUUCGAUGCAACGCGUAGAACCUUACCUGGGUUUGACAUGGAUCGGGAGCGCUCAGAGAUGGGUGUGCCUCUUUUGGGGUCGGUUCACAGGUGGUGCAUGGCUGUCGUCAGCUCGUGUCGUGAGAUGUUGGGUUAAGUCCCGCAACGAGUGCAACCCUUGUUCACUGUUGCCAGCACGUUAUGGUGGGGACUCAGUGGAGACCGCCGGGGUCAACUCGGAGGAAGGUGGGGAUGACGUCAAGUCAUCAUGCCCCUUAUGUCCAGGGCUUCACGCAUGCUACAAUGGCUGGUACAGAGAGUGGCGAGCCUGUGAGGGUGAGCGAAUCUCGGAAAGCCGGUCUCAGUUCGGAUUGGGGUCUGCAACUCGACCUCAUGAAGUCGGAGUCGCUAGUAAUCGCAGAUCAGCAACGCUGCGGUGAAUACGUUCCCGGG